rnacentral:rRNA from 1 species
GACGAACCGUGCGAACGUUGUUCGGAUUCACUGGGCUUAAAGGGCGCGUAGGCGGAUGGUCAAGUCGGGGGUGAAAUCUUUCAGCUUAACUGGAAAAGUGCCUCCGAUACUGACUGUCUCGAGGGAGGUAGGGGCAUGUGGAACUUCCGGUGGAGCGGUGAAAUGCGUAGAUAUCGGAAGGAACGCCGGUGGCGAAAGCGACGUGCUGGACCUCUUCUGACGCUGAGGCGCGAAAGCUAGGGGAGCAAACGGG